UGAGGCGCGAAGGCGUGGGGAGCAAACAGGAUUAGAUACCCUGGUAGUUCACGCUGUAAACGAUGAAUGUUAAAUAUGGGAAGUUUUACUUUCCGUAUUACAGCUAAGGCGUUACACAUUCCGCUUGGGGAGUACGGUCGCACGAUUAAAACUCAAAUGAAUUGACGGGGACCCGCACAAGCGGUGGAGCAUGUGGUUUAAUUUGAUGCAACGCGAAAAACCUUACCACUCCUUGUCAUGGAAUUUAUACCUAUUUGAAGGGAUAGGGUCGGUUCGUCGGGGUUUCACACAGGUGUUGCAUGGCUGUCGUCAGCUCGUGUCUGUGAGAUGUUGGGUUAAGUCUCCGCAACGAGCGCAACCCUCAUCUUUAGUUACCAUCAGGUAAUGUUGGGGACUUUAAGGAAACUGCCAGUGAUAAACUGGAGGAAGGUGGGGAUGAUGUCAAGUCAUCAUGGCCCUUAUGGAGUGGGCUACACACGUGCUACAAUGGUGGCUACAAUGGGUUGCAAAGUCGCGAGGGUAAGCUAAUCCCUUAAAAGCCAUCUCAGUUCGGAUUGUACUCUGCAACUCGAGUGCAUGAAGUUGGAAUCGCUAGUAAUCGUGGAUCAGCACGCCACGGUGAAUACGUUCUCGGGUCUUGUACACACUGCCCGUCACGCCAUGGGAAUUGGUUUCACUCGAAGUUAACGACGUAACCGCAAGGGACGGACUUCUUUAAAGUGGGAUCGGUGAUUGGGGUGAAGUCGUAACAAGGUAGCAGUAG
rnacentral:rRNA from 1 species